UACGUAGGGGGCAAGCGUUGUCCGGAAUUAUUGGGCGUAAAGAGCGUGUAGGCGGUCCGGUAAGUCAGCUGUGAAAGUCAAGGGCUCAACCCUUGAAUGCCGGUUGAUACUGUCGGGCUAGAGUCCGGAAGAGGCGAGUGGAAUUCCCGGUGUAGCGGUGAAAUGCGCAGAUAUCGGGAGGAACACCAAUGGCGGAGGCAGCUCGCUGGGACGGUACUGACGCUAAGGCGCGAAAGCGUGGGGAGCGAACAGG
rnacentral:rRNA from 1 species